GACGAACGCUGGCGGCGUGCCUAACACAUGCAAGUCGAGCGAUGAAGCCCUUCGGGGUGGAUUAGCGGCGGACGGGUGAGUAACACGUGGGUAACCUGCCUCAAAGUGGGGGAUAGCCUUCCGAAAGGAAGAUUAAUACCGCAUAAAAUGCUUUAAUCGCAUGGUUGAAGCAUCAAACGAGUAAUCGGCUUUGAGAUGGACCCGCGGCGCAUUAGCUAGUUGGUGAGGUAACGGCCCACCAAGGCGACGAUGCGUAGCCGACCUGAGAGGGUGAUCGGCCACCUUCGAACUGAGACACGGUCCAGACGCCUACGGGAGGCAGGAGUGGGGAAUAUUGCGCAAGGGAGGUAACUCGGACGCAGCAACGCCGCGUGAAUGAUGAAGGCCUUAGGGUUGUAAAGUUCUGUCUUCUGGGACGAUAAUGACGGUACCAGAGGAGGAAGCCACGGCUAACUACGUGCCAGCAGCCGCAGUAA
rnacentral:rRNA from 1 species